GGUCAGCUUACUCCUUGCAGGAAGUGAGGCAGAAAGAAGAGGCAGUGGCAAGAUCUGGAAUUGUUGUGGAAGAGAAAAAUUGGCCACCAUUUUUUCCAAUCAUUCAUCAUGAUAUUGC